GGUCGAUUAAGACAGCAGGACGGUGGUCAU
rnacentral:snRNA from 1 species